AGAAGGUGGAGAAAGGACAUAUGGUGUCUGUUAGCACCAGGUCGUUUUCUUAUGGAAAAAUACAACAUUAUUUUUAGAGCUAAAAUCAUGGAAAGCAACAUCCAGUCGACUGUGAAAACAACAUUAGAAACAGGCAUUACCCACUGGGGUGGAGGAAUUGAUUAUAGCAGCCUGUGGCCUUAGUCCGUCCGUAAAACAGGCCCGUCCGUCCGUCAAACAGGACCUGAGCCCUAGGACCAUGCCCCAGGACUACCUGACUUGAUGACUCCUUGC